rnacentral:piRNA from 1 species
UAUGAUGAUGGCUUAACUUGGGCUCAGAGG